rnacentral:tRNA from 1 species
CGGGGCGUAGCUCAGCCUGGCUAGAGCGCAGCGUUCGGGACGCUGAGGUCGCAGGUUCAAAUCCUGUCGCCCCGA